CCUUAGCCUCCCUCGCACGAAAAAAACCAUCCUCUCGAUCCACCCCUCGUGCGACCGCUCUCUUCUCCUCUCCUCCCGAUGCGGCGCUGCCCCCAUCUCUUGCUCCGCCGCCGCCCGUCACCUCCUCGGCCUCCCCGCCGCCCCCUCCGCACGACGCCUCACCGACAUCGAUCUCGCCCCUAAGGACUCAACUCCGCCGGCCUCGCCAUCCUCUCCAUCACUGUGGUCACGGUCUCUGGCGCCGGCACGGACGUUGGCGGCGGUAAGGCGAGGGCUCGCGGCGAGGGAAGCACCGUGGAGCCACUCGAUCCCGCGCCUCCACCGACCGCAGCCUCCUCUGUUCAAUCCACCCCUCCACCAUCCAACGCCUCUCUCUCCCUGGCCUCCCGAUCCCAGCCGCCAGGAGGCACCCCACCCCGCGCGACGCUCGAUCCGGUGUCGCGCCGAUCUGGCGGCGGGUGCAGCGUCUUGCUCCGAUGGCGACGACAUCCUGCUGAUCCAGGGAAAGGGAGAGACAGGGCGUAAGGGAGAGAGGAAAGAGAGGAAGAAAGGAGAAGGAGAAGGGGCACAAGGCGAGGAAGGCGGUCGCGGGCGGUGGCGGCUCUGGUGACCGGCCGGCGGGUAGGGAGACGAGCUCCUGUUGAGGCGGCGGGGCUCGGUGCGGGCUGGUUCCGCCGGAUCGAGCCUUGGCUCUCCCAAGGCGGCGGUUGCGGGCUUGGAUCAGGGUGGUCCUUCUCCCCCGCCCUCCCCCUCCAUGGCCAAUGGCACAAGGUGCGGCGACCUCUUCGGCCCCCUGCCAUGGCUCCUGUCUCUCCCCCCCACCAGUGCCCUCCUUACCCCUUCCCCACUCCCGGCUGAUCCCCAAGGCUGCACCCUCCCGCUUUCAUUAGAUCUGGUCCGGACAGGACCGAGUUCCCCCGAUGGCCUUGAUAGAGCUGUGCGAGGAUGAGGAGACCAUCACCUGCUCUAGCUGCGCAAGGCCACGCAGAGAGGCCGACCUCAUCCUCCAUCAAGGUCUUGACUCCAAUCUUCGGACAGAACAAUGUAAUAUAUAUAUGCAGCUUGCAGUCUUUGUCACCCUGUGACAAAUCUGGGUCCUAUGCAUACUAAAUGUGCAUCUUGGCCUGGCUCUUGGCACACGCACAAUCCAUCAGAUGAACAUAGCACUCUUGGAGUACUCAUGUAUUUCCUAGAGCAAUAUUACUUACAUUUAGUUUCAUGCCAUCAUGGAAAUUCAGACGGGCGUUUCGCAGAGUGUUCAGAAUAAUACUUUGCAAGGGACAGCAGCAUGAUGUCAAGCAGCAGCAGCAGCAGCAGGUUCUGCAGCUUCGACGACCCUGGUGAGUCCACGGUCGUGCUCAACUCCUGCCAGGAGGGCGCGAAGGAGUUUCCCCUUGAACCCCAUGACCUGAUUCUCAGAUCGGAUUGAAGGUGUAUCUGUAUUUUACUUGUGCAACAUGAAGAUUUCAGAAGUUGAAGCGAAUGGAAAGAUAGAAGAGGGUUUGAAAAAUAGGGAGAACAUCCAACAACGGGUAAGAAUUAUUUGUAUAUUGAUAUUGAGAAAUUACAUCUUUGUUUGAUUGAGCAUUUUUAGCUGGAGCUGCAGUGCAACCAUGGUACUAGAUGCUGGUUUGCCUCUUCUCUUCUAACUUAAUAAGAUCUGAUGUGUUUGUGCUUAAAUGAUUCUUGAUGAUGAGCUGAUAUGAUUAGUAGAUAUCUGAAACUAAUGGAUCAUAUAUCAGGCGUCAAAUCUGAAUUUUCACGCGUGUGCACUAAUGAAUUUUCACGCAUGUGCACUAAUGGGUCAUAUAUCAGGCUUGUCUGAAUUGAUUUGUGGAUAUGCUGCACUUCACGGUUUUACUUCUACCCACAGUAACAUCUCUUGACUAUUACAUGAUCAAUGUAUUCGUGAGGAAUUGCAGGUUUUCUUUGCCUCAAAGGUGCACACAUACUGUAGUUAGCCAUUGAUGGUUUUGUGGCUUCAGCCAUGAUACUAAAACGGUUCUCAAUUUUGUGAUUCAUUGUAGUCAAUGGGUACCACGUAUUUGUUUCGAUAGAAGGUGACAUGUUUCUACUUCUUACACUACAAUCGGCCCCGUAGAUGGACAUAAAGGAUAUUUGCCUGAUGAAAAUGUGCUUUUGAGUGCAGUGAAUUUUGCCUGAUAUGUAUUCUUGAUGUAUGGUGGAUGGGAAAGAGCGAUGCGGCCUUUCUGUUGAUCCAUCGCCAAUUGCUCCUGAUCUUUCCCUUCACAUCAGCCCUCUGUCGCCGGUGGAUGGCAAAGGAGAGGUGCGGCUGGGGCUCCAUGAGGCGGCCGCAAAGAAGCAAUGUGAUGGUUUUGUUUGCCUAUUGGUAUCUCAGCGUGGGUUCUUGAGCCUGAACGGGUAAUUAUAAGUAGUAACUGAUAAAAUCAGAUGGUCUCUUGCAAAUUGCUUUUGGGGAGGCUGCAUGGUGUUUCUUUGAUGCCCUUUUCCGCUGUCAUUAAAAGAAUAGAAAGCCAUACAAAUGUAUCCAAACGUUGUGUUUGUACUAAAUUUAAUUUUCAUUUGUGCAUAUUUAAGAUUAACCCUUACUGUUCUUUAAAAUUCACUUCCUUUUGUAUUCGAUACAACAUCUUCUAUGAGCAGUACCCAACUCAGUACUGGAACUGAUGAACAUUAAGGAUCUUACACUCCCUCAUGUUAAGAGUCACCUACAGGCAAGUAACUAUAACAAAGACUUCUUUCCUACUAUUUUUUACCUGCAUCUAUUCAUGUAUAUGCUAGCUCAAACAUCUUUUUCGCCGUAGUGGUUUGUUAUUAGUUGAUACCAAGUACCUAUUCUCCCUUUUUGCCUUUAAUCUUCUGCUCUAGAUACAUUUGUAUUAACUUUGAAAAAAACAAAUGACAUGAAUUAGAUUAAGCUAAUCAACUUCUCAUUAUUCGUAUUUUUUUACUUCUUUUCUUGCAUGCAGAUGUACAUUACAUUGAAGGGCACAGACAAAUCAUGAGUUGCACAUAAAACUCGUGGUGCCUAGAUCCUGCACACCUUGUUACCUUUGAAAUUAAUUUCAUGGCUUGAGUUAUCUAACAUAUAAAGCCUCCUAGAGUACCCGCUAUCCUGAAGCCUUCGCGUCGCGCAUGCGUUUUCCUUCGCACGAUUUCACUGCGACAGCGAUUUUUACGGUGCUGUCAAAGUCUUGGCCGUUCGUUGUUCGUGACUCCUUCGUUUCGCUUUUCUUGUAUGAUAGGUGGGCCUCAAUUGCCCUCGGGCCCAGCAUUCUGGUGUGGCCUGUGUGUGUGCUGGGUGAGAAAAGGAGGAGAAUGGGGGUGGAUCGUGGUGCGAGGUGAAAACUCAGCCACCAAUCCCCCACGUCUCCGAGCAACCAAUCCAGGCCCCGCUCCCCUCCCUCUCCACCGUGCCGCCUCCUCCCCUUCUGCCCUGCUCUCCACCACAUCUCCUCUCCUCCCCUUUACUGUCCUCUCCGGCGGCGGCGCCAAUCUGCGGGCAAAGGGAGACGGCGGGGGCGCCAAUCUGUAGGCAAAGGGAGACGACGGCAGCGCUCGAUUCAAUCUGCGGAAGAGAGAAGAUGGAGGGAGAGAGAGAAGGGGAAGAGAGGAGGGAGAAAGAGAGAGUAAAGAGGAGAGAGAGGUGAGGCGGCUGGCAGAUAGGGUCACCGGAAGGAGCGCCCGCUUUUCUUUCCGGCGGUAGCGCCGACCUGCAGGCAAAGGGAGAAGAUGAGAGGGAGAGAGAGAAGGAAGGAGAGGGGGGAGAAAGAGAGAGGAAAGAGGAGAGGGAGGUGUGGUGGAGGACGGGAGAGGGUCACCAGAAGGAGUGCCUUUCGAGGUCGUGCGCCGGCCGGAGCAGCAGGAGCAAGGAUCUGGCGGCCUCUGCCUCCCCGUUGCACGCCAGCACCGCAUCUCCUUCAUAUUUUAUUUUCAGUUUUCACAUGUUGAGCUAUAGGUUGGCUUGAUCUCUUGUGUUAGGGACGUGUGAGGUUGAACGACUGAAAAUUGUUACAGAACUUUCCCUAUGGCCGGUCUGUUUCACAAUUGUCUUAUCAUAAUGCUAAAGAAGUCUCUUUUUUGCAGGAAGCCUUCCGAUCUGUGGAGAAUAUUCAUGGCUUGGUGAACAUGGUUAAGAGAACUCCAAAACCAUCUGUCAUUGUCUUAUAUUAUGCCAAACUAACUGAAAUAUCCUGAAUAUCCGAGUCACUUGUAUCAUGCGUAUGCAUCGCUGAAGCUUUUCAUCUUGCAAAAGAGCUACAAUAAAAAAUUAACUCAGAAGUGACCUUUUCAAUUUCUCCCUCGUAUCCAAGUGUGACAAUAGAGAAAUGGUUUCUAGAGCUCGCCGUGGAUCCUUUUUUGGCUGCUGUGAUUUUUUUAACAUGCUGCCAAAAUGUUCAAUGUCUCUGUUAUCACAUGGAUUUAGUCUUCCAAUGCAUUCUCGUCGAACAAUGUAGGAUGUGAGCUUCUUCGGCUUCUUCCAGCGGCCCGGCCAUGACGUCCUCAAGCCGCCGACGCUCAGAGCGACAUCAAUGGCCCUCUCCCAAGCUGCACUGCUCCUGAUCUUCAUCGCCUCACACUGUUGUGCUCCGCACAGUUCAGCCUGACCAUGAUGUUCUCAAGCCGCCGAUGGUCACAACACACGUGGCGACCCGCUCCCAAGCUGUGUUGCUUUUCCAUCAGCGCUGACAAACUUAGUUUGUUUUUGAAUGUGGGCAUCAGGUCUCCGAGUCGUUUAAAUCUGAACGCAAGACCAAGGCUACUAGCCUGAGCAUUGCGGAACAAAGCAGGAAAGCAUUUGCUGAACUUAAUAAAAGCAAGCAUGGAAUUUAAGUAGGUUCAGGGUGUGGUGGACAAGGACGCCUCUGCCACAGCACCUGCAUCUUCAUCUCUGCCAUGUGUCUUCUGAUUACCACAGUAACACAAUUUUCUUACUCAUGCUUUGCGCUUAGUAUAUUUCUUCACUCUGAAAAGUUAACUUUUGUUGGUUGCACGUCAAGUAACAAAGGUAAUACUUUUUUGUUGCUUCAUUGGCAUGGUUAGUUUUACAUCAUUUACUAAGUUGAAAGCAGUUGAGAUGUAUGCCUUAAUAUCUGUUGUUUUGUUGCGUGUUGCUAUUCCUUGAGGCCACUCCAAGAUGAUCGUUAUUUCUUAUGCAGACAAAUAAUUGCUGUAACAUGAUUACAUUUACUGAUUGGCGUAGCUGUACUUUUGGAUGGCAGUGUUCAUAGCUUAGUGGCAGUGUUUUAGAUGUCUUUUUUUCCUGUAUCCUAUUGGUGCCUUUGGAAAUUAAGAAUUACUUUCUUUUUAGGAUUCUUGCCGGAGGAGACGAACUUUUAUGGAUUCUUGCUGGAGGAGAUGAACUUUUUUGGUGUGUUUUUUCCCCUGUAUGCGUCGCUUCAGAUCAGGCUGAUGCUGUUGUUAUUAUGGAUGAGCUGUUGAAGGCCAAGGUUUUCCUUGUGAGAAUGCCAUAGGUACAAGAAAAGAUUGCCUGAAAGGUCUUUAUGGUUUAUUCUGCAAGGUUAGAGGCCUGCUGAGGCUAGCGUGAGGUCUGCUAUGGCAUCGAUGAUCUGGGUGUCAUGACUGUGAGGACUGCUCGCGCCUCUCCGCUCACAAACCGUGUGACAGAGUAAAUACUCUGGUCCACAACAAUUAGACCUUCCUCCCUCUCAGCUAUGGUAUUGCAGCACAACAAUCUCCUUCCACCUUCAUUUGUUGGGCUAGAGCGUUAGAAGACAUUCUAAUUUUCUAGCUAUAUUUUGCAAUGUUAGACUGGUCAAAUGUGUUUGUAUAUGGUCGCAGUGGCGUGAGCUUUUUCAUUACUUGAUCUGUUUAUUCAAACUCAAUUUUUCUGUUGUUGUGGAGAGGAGGAUCAUCUGCUCUUUCAUACAUAUUUAUUACCUUCACUAUGAUCAUGGUAUCGAUUAAACUAUUUCUAAAUAAGCUUCUCCAUCAAACAUGUCCUAAUUAUGUCUUUCAAGCUGGGGGUUGCUCACCCAACCUUUCAUGGAAAAAUGGCAAUCUGUUCACUUUGUGAUCAUUUAUUUAUUUUAAGUUGCCUAGGAAAGUUGGACAGACAUAAAACUUGGUCCAGGAACUCCUGGAUAUUGCAAUGUGUACUCUGUUUUCAUCUGAAUUUAUUAGUUGCUAGAGGUUGUACCUUUGACGUGGACCAUAAAUUGUCCAUUUGAGCUGAACUUUCUCCAGAGGAGAAAGUCCCGAUGCAAGCUGCCAUGUUUCUUAGCUGUAAUUUCUUUUACCAUCGUCUGAAGAAUUUCUUCCUACCUGUUUGCUAGGCCUGACCAGUAUUCAAGCACCCUAGCCUUUUUUUCCCUUGGCAAGAAACCUUGGCAGGUGCUAUGAGGUACAGAAGCUGGAGAGAUAGUUCCGAAACUCCUUGAGGGCUUGGAGGGUUUAGGGUGUUUGAAAAUGAGACCCAAAUAAAAUUCUUUUCCAUGUCGUUGUUCUGCUGGAACUGUUAUUCUUAUUUCUCUCGUCAACAAUGGAUAUUGUGCGUAUUCUGUACUAUCAUGCUUUUUGGGAAAUACUUUAAGGCCCUGUUUGGAUUAGCGUUUCUGCUCGUUUUCUGGCCGGUAUAAGAUACGGACGUCCUCUGGUUCGUUUUCAUUUCAGGCUGAUCUUAACUGUUGACCUGUAACUUACACCUGUAGAAUAAAUACACGCGUAUAAAAUUACCCCCAUUCCAAGCGGUGCCUAAAGAUAUCCUGUUCACUUAUUUCUCACUAAAUCCCAUCUGUCCAGGUGCCACAAAGUGCCCAGGCAGCUGGAAGCACACAUAAAACCAUCGAUGCUCCUUUCCGUAGGAGAAAUAAGUGAACGGACAAUCUUUUCAUCUUUGUAUAAAUUCAGAUGUGAUUAGCCAAGUCCAGAAGAUUUGGUCUACUUCUCACUAAAUCCCAUCUGUUCUUCAGAUAAUACUUUUUCUUUGAGUUCAGACGCGAUUAGCCUUCAUGAUGCAUGGAUGCAAAUUUGGACAGUUGGAUUCUUGAUGUGCACAUAAAUACAUUGAGAAGAUGGAACUAGAAUUAAACUUCCGUCCAACUGCAGGUCAAGGUUAGAGUGGUUCUGCAACUAUUUCCAUCUGAAAAGAUAUACUUUGCAGCAUCCUGUAUGAUACGUAUAUGCUCGCAGAGGCGUCCGAGCUGUCGAGGUGAGCAGUGGUGGACAACUAUAUAGUGUGUCCUCUUCUUCCUCGACGAUGCCUCCGUGCUUUCCCAUGUCGCCUCACCAGCCACCACCAACAGCAGUGUAUUGAUCUAUGGCGGGCAAGACCAAAGCACUGCAGCCGCCCGAGGGGCGCCCAAGGCCAAGCCUACACUAGCAGCGGCGAUGACGGAGGCGGAGGCGAAGGAGCUCCCCAAGGCCAUCGCGUGGCAGCUGGUCCAGGACAAGCUCGCCUGGGUUGCCGUGGCCGGCGCCGGCGAAGGAGGAGGGUGGAGGUGUGGUGGACAAGGACGCCAUGGCCGCCUUCGCCACAGCCUGCCACCAAUCCAGAAUAUCACUAUAUCUUCAUCCCUGCCUCUCUGCCACUUCAGAAUAAUAGUUGACGUUUUCACCAUAAAUCUGUGUACUGCAGCAUUUUUAUAGAUACUCUCUGUAAAUAAAAUCUUUUUUUCUUUAAGGGUUCAUAUAUAACUCUGUUACAACAUUGAACUAAAUCCUGAAUUCCUGAUCCUUCCUUGUGUAGCCUUAUCUCAGACAUACGUAACUGAAAAUAAAGCUAUGCACAGAGAAAAGGUGUAGACUCGGUUGCUGGGCAUGAACUCCGGCAUAGACUACUUUAGUUUUCUUCCAGUAAAGGAGAUGUCGAAUGAGGUGUUCUUAUAACUUCUAAGCUUAUAAGGGAAUAUAUGCACUACCAUUGGAGUAGCAAUUUUAGUUCUCAAAUUGUAGUAUUAAAUUAUAUGUGCCAGGAUUAGCAUAGUGAAAAGUGAUAUGCCUCCUAUAUGACCGACUCAUAGACUUAUCUAAAAACUGGAUCCUAUGCUCUGCACCCUUCUUUUGCUUCGUGCCAUUAUUUACUGAUAACUGUUCUCACUAUCUAUAUUUAAACCUUCUCAGUGUAAGAGUGACAAGACACUCUCCUAUCCAUUCAAUUGAUUCCUUUUUUCUUAUCAGUAUUUUCAGGUCAACUACACUAAAAGCAAACUAAAAGAUUCAGAUUAUAAUACGCUCAAGGUCAGGCUUGCAAACAGUGAUCUACACGCCAAUUGUCGCAUCAUGCUAGGAACCGACAAGAGAGCCACCGUGACAACCAACUGGUCUGAGUUCCGCCGCCUUUCAAAAAUCCAUGAAGUAGACUUCUGUACCUUUCGUUUCAAGGUCACCACAAAGCAGCGCCUGGUUCUCAUCGUGCAUUGCCUUUAGAUGAACCAUCAACAACAACGGAAAUCGUAUCUAAAUAUCAUCUAGCAUUUAUGCAGCAACACAGAUUGUGCUAGGCGUGAUGGAAGGUGAUGCUCAGAGAAACUUGUCGAGAUGCUCUACCUGAUGAUGAUUUUAUUGUUUUGUUUGUUCAACAGUAUGUAGCGACACAGAUUGUGCUAGGCAUAAUGGAAGGUGGUGCUCAGGUAACAAAACGGAAACAUGCUUCUCUUUGAAACCGUGCCAAGGCAAUUGCAUUCUUGUUAUUAUUUGGUGUAUACUAUUUAAAAUAGGAAGGAAAGCCAACACAUACUUUUGUUUCCAUUCUCAAAUCGUACCAGUAAGAAGAUUUAUUUUGGAUGAAGAAAAAACUCUGCCAUGCUUGUGUUAAUUUAAAAAGAAUUUUGAUAAUGGCCUGUGCUAAUCACUAAUUUUUAUAUCUUUCUAAGAGGGGUCCCGCCGUUUACAUUAAAUGUUUUCUCUGGUGAAGCGACAACUAUGUUUCCACGUUGAAAUCAGGUAACACCAGGAGGGGUGAGUAUUUAAUGACGGUUCCACGUGUAUGUGCCAUUUAGGUUAUAUUUGAAAUUUAGUGAUAUACCAAUUUGCCUUGAUUCCUAUAGUUUCUUAAUUGAUUGGGCAAUUUUGUUUUGAAUGUAGUAGUUAACUAUUUCAAUGGGCAAAUGAAUACUUAUGAUUGCCUUCGGAGCUUAUAUUCAUUUUCCUUCGAAACUUAUAUUUGUCUAUUAAGAAAUUAGUAGUACAUGAAGCAACAAUGGUAGUAUUGGUCCGUAGAGUCCUACAAUUUCUUUCAAGUGCAAAAUAUACUACAGUAGAAGCACAAAAAAAAUUCACUCAAAAAAAUUACAUGUAAUUUAUUCAGUUCUACAACAGCCAAGGAUGGGGCAUCGCACCGACGACAGUGAACUGUAAUGAGGGUGAGAUGCCGAUGUCUGCGCCGGCGCCAGAGACCGUGACCACAACUCGGGGGCGAGGUGGCGGUGUCAUCGGCAUUGCCAGUGUUGGCCCCUUGAGUUUUGGACCUGCCGAGCUCUGGUUCUGGAAGCUGCCAAUCCCAUCGAGCCCCUCCAGCAGCCUUCAGUAUACAGUUGAGGAGAAUUUAUAAGCGAGUGGAUCAUAUGUACUCUUUUUAUGAUGCAUCUCUGACCAUGCAGUUUCUGGGCCUCACAGAGAAGGUCAAGAAGGAAGAGCUUGUCAAGUCUGCAAUCGAGGAUUUUUCUGUCAGGCUCUGUUGGUGGACGCGAGAGACAUCUGGAUAGAAAGUUCGACUCUUCCUUACUAGAGCCAUAUGACCAAAAAGAUGAGGCUCUUUCCAAGCAUACAAGCAUAAGAUAUGUUAAUAUUGGGAGAGUGUCUCAUAUACUGCUCGAGGUCGGGAGGGUGCGGAGGCUGCUAGAGGAAGCAUUGGAGGCCGAGCUCAGCAGCAAUGAUGAGCUGCUACUGGUGUUGGACCGGGUACGGUCUACGAAGGAACGGGAGUGGGGUGGCUGGUUGUAUCCGCCAGAUUUUUGUGGAUGUGCUUAGCCAAGUUUUGAGAGCAUAUUCAGUAUACCUUGGUUGCCCAUAUGAUUGGUCAUCUCUCAAACAAUGGCACGGCCGCCACCUGAAAAGUGGCUAUCCCUAGCUAGCUGAGGGAUAACCUCAUAACCAAAAAUGCCCCCUUGUUGUGUAUGGUGAAAUUUUGUCCCAUACUAUACACUAUAGAGCUAGAGAAAAGCAACCUAAUAAGCUGAGAUUGUCGAGAAAAUGUGGUUGUCAAAUAGCUGAACUGAAUUGCUCGAAAAAGAGGCAACUACUCUUGUAGCUUUCCAAAAUCUGGAAAACUAAAACAAUUAAACAAGUACUGCUAAUCCAUUGUUUUUCUAAUUCAAGCAGUAAGAGUAGGCCUUUAGGUACUCACCUGGACGUUUGACGUCAUCUGCACUACAUUGCACUUUAUUUUUUGCAUGAUUUACAUUUUGUUCCUACUUAAUAAAAUCAGCAACUCAGUUGAUCUUGUUUCAUGCGCUUGUAGUGAGUUAUUCCUUCGAAUAUAAUCAAUUGUUUCAGUACUAAGCUAUCACAGAACAGAUAUUUGGUGAUGGCUUCCAAAAUAUUUUAGAGCACAUAUGGACAGAAUACCUGAUAUCUCUCUACUUUUAGAAAAACAGUUGCAUUACCGUAAAAGGCUUUCGCCCCGCUUUAUAUUAUAAAGCAACCGCCCACAUCAAGCAUCCCCCAAGGUUCCACACAUGUCCAAACACACACACACACACGCACGGAGGUUCCAAGCAGUUGCAUUACGGAAACUUUUAAUAUCUCUCUACAUUUGAGUUGUUCUUCCCUUUCUACAAAUGAUGCAUGAUCCUUGGGUUUAGAUUGAGAUGCUAGAUGGGAAACUGGUGUUAUUAUCAUCUGCUCAGGUUUUUUUGGGGGUAUCAUAUGGUGUUAUUUUAACAUGUAGAUCGAUGUUGUUUGUGGUUACAUCAAGGUAUGUACCUGAUACUCCCUCCGUCCCAAAAUAAGUUUCUUAACUUUGUACCAAAUUUAGUACAAAGUUGUACUAAGGUCGAGCCACUUAUUUUAGGACGGAGGGAGUGUGUGGUUGUUUUUCUAUUUCUGCAGAUCCUAUAUUGUUGUGUGGUUAUGUCUCCAAGUGUGUCGAUCCCUGUCUACUGAAGUAAACUUAUUUGUUUUCUGUGUGGAUUUCUAUAGGCUUACUGAAGUACAACUUUUUUUGGAAAAUUAAUUUCUGCUUGUUCGAACAUGUUUGAUGUACUUACACAUCAAGAAGAGUGCAUGAGACCUUUUACAAAGCCAUUUGUAUCCAGUAUCCUAUAGUAAAAAUUCUACUGCAUGCUGGUGGAGUUAAGAAUUGGUGUUAUCAUUUGGAAGUGGCAGCAGAUAUUCAUUCCAAAAUAUUUGGGUUUGGCCCUUGGCUUUUUUACUAUUUAUUUAAUGAUGAAGAUAUCAGAUAUUCUUGUUUUUAAAUACAUAGAGCAGGGAAUGACAAAGAGAUCCCAGUGGCUGAGAGAUGU